CCAGACCUGAGGGGCAGGGCUGCGGAUGUGACGAAAGCCAAGUGGGUCUAGGGGGAGAUCAAGGAACCAGCAUCUCAGGCUGAGCCCACAAAGCACCAGAGGCUCCUCCUGACGGGCAAAGGGCAGUCGCUUGACUGGAAUAGGAAGCGUGGGAUGUACCGUCUGGAAGCUGGAACUUUCCUGGAGCUGGCUGGCACUGAAGUCGGGGAUAGGAAGCCGCCUGUGAUAACUGUUUUUGCUUCUGGUAAUUGGACCAAGGUGGCAGAAGGAGGCUGGAACUCUAGCACAGCUGGAACUCUUACGCCCUCUGGUGGUCAGAGCCUCCCUAGCAGCACCCCGCUGAGAAGAAUGGAUGUUGGAAACGCGCCUGCAGAGAUAGAAUUUCUGGAGUUUUUCAGAUUCUUCCCCAGAGCCCGACCACUAACAUCUUCAUUUCAGCUGUGAACACAAGCCUGCCUAGACUACUCGCCCUGGACUCCUGACUUACGAAACCAUAAAGUGAUAAAUGGGUAUUGUUGAAGCUGCUAAAUUUGGGUAAUAUGUUAUGCAGCAAUACAAAACUAAUACCGGAAGCUUUAUAAGCUUUACAAUAAUAGCAGGCCAAAUGAGAAUUCCAGGCCCACAGGCAGAUAGAUUCUGGACUAGAGAAGAGACAUUCCUAACUUCCAACCAGUGGCGUAAGAGGCAGAAAGGAUAGUACUUCUCAUUUAUCAAGAUUAUAUCUGCUGCCAGGAGUUCCCUUGUGGCACUCUGGGUUAAGGAUCCAGCCUUGUCAAUGCAGCAGCUCUGUUGCUGCUGUAGCAAGGGUCCCUGGCCUGGGAACUUCCACAUGCCGCAGGUGCAUCCAAAAAAAAAAUUAUAUCUGCUGUCUUAUUUCUUCAUGACUGCACACUUCUUUUCACUUUAUGACGUCAGCUGUCAUUGACACUCAUGAAAACUUAAGGAUGGAGAAGGGCUAGUUUGCUCUCUGUGACAGAUGGUAUUUUUCCAAAAAUGAAUCCUAUCUCAUGUGCCCCUCUUCUGAUAAGAUUCUGAUGUUUCUCUGUCAAGAUAUGGGAUCUAAGUUCCUUCGCUUGAAUCUAGCAGACCUGAGACUCUGGCAGGGGUAAUGCUAGGUGACUUUCAAAGCUAAGUCAUAACAGGUGACACACCCAGAUGGCUUGCUCUCUCAGGAUGCUCCUGGCAUCAUGAACCCAAGCCCCAUGCUGUGAGGAAGCCCAAGCAGCCACCUAGAAGCUACUCCUACACCCUUGCAGGAGUCCUGGCACCAACUGAGACACGAGAGUGAGAGAGACUUCAGAAGAUUCCCACUCCCUGCCUUCAAGUCACUCCAGACAUAAACUGCUCUAAGUCCUGUCCAAAUUGCUGAUCUGGAAGCAAAAUAAAUGUUGUUUUAAACCACUAAAUUUUAGCUUA
rnacentral:lncRNA from 1 species